CUGCACGGUGCACCCCGGGCUUCUCUGAGACAUUCCGUGAAGGUGGAAGCCCCAAUGCUCGUGCUACAUUUAACUGCCGUUCAGUGUUGCAGUUCUGUCGAUUUUUCUACAUCUGAUCUGUGUCAAUGUAACGGCUAAAUCU